GGAGGGAGAGACAGGGAAAGGAAACAGAAAUCAUAACCAAAAAGUUCGCACUGAUUAUUGAAGUAGUCAGUGCUCCCUUGGGCUGUGGGGAAGGGAAAGGCACUUUUACAGUGUUUUGGAACAUUUUUCUUCUUCGCGAUUCUGACUUUUCACCACGUAUUUAUGCUACAUUGAAAGAGGAGAAGAAAAGAAAAAGAACUCAAAGGUUUUACAAUGGAUGAUCUUCAUUGCUCCUCCUCACCACUUCAGGAUGAACAUUGCAGUGGGCAUACCAUGGAGCCAGACCACCAGCAGAGCAUUAAACAAGGACAGAUGUGAAUGCCAGGAUAAAAAUGAAGACAUUCCUGAAGUGCUUACUGAAGCUGUUGUCAAUAGUGUUUCAAAACUUACAAGUUUUCCUGACUCAGCUUUGAGCAG